GAUGAACGCUAGCGGCAGGCUUAACACAUGCAAGUCGAGGGGUAUGCCGAUUUAUCGGCAGAGACCGGCGCACGGGUGCGUAACGCGUAUGCAAUCUACCUUUCACAGAGGAUAGCCCAGAGAAAUUUGGAUUAAUACCUCAUAGUAUAGCAGUUUCGCAUGAAACCACUAUUAAAGUUCCAACGGUGAAAGAUGAGCAUGCGUCCCAUUAGCUAGAUGGUAAGGUAACGGCUUACCAUGGCUACGAUGGGUAGGGGUCCUGAGAGGGAGAUCCCCCACACUGGUACUGAGACACGGACCAGACUCCUACGGGAGGCAGCAGUGAGGAAUAUUGGUCAAUGGACGCAAGUCUGAACCAGCCAUGCCGCGUGCAGGAUGACGGUCCUAUGGUAUUGUAAACUGCUUUACACAGGAAGAAACAACGCUACGUGUAGCGUCUUGACGGUACUGGUGAGAAUAAGGAUCGGCUAACUCCGUG
rnacentral:rRNA from 1 species